GAAACACACCCCCUGAGCGUCUGAGCACCACCAGCAGGAAGGGAGGGAGCGCGGGCCAGGUGUAGUGAGAAAUCCACAAACCAAGACACGCCCACACCCCUCGUCUCCAUUCGCGUCUCGGGCGUUGGGUGUCCGAGCGGCUUUCGCGGGAUUCCCCCCGGAGGGGCUGCGCGUCCCGUCGUCGGCCUCGAUGCCCUCGGGCGCGCGCGGCGGGGGCCGCGGCUGGAAAGGAGCGCCUCCCACCCGUCCGGGGCCUUCCGCGGCGGCGCCCCUAACGUGGCCUCCGGCAGAGGAGCCGGGGCCGCCCGCGGCAGCCCUCACCCUCCGCCGCCGGGAGUCCGAGGAGGGAGGAGCUUGGUGGGCUCGGCGAAAAGGACCGGUCCCGUACCUGCGCUAAGACGUGUUUGUAAUCCAAUGGACACACAAAAAUGCACUGAGGAAAAAAGUCGCAAAGGUUGCGUGAAAUGCUGGGAAGUUAGACACGAGGCAACGAGAAGAAGACUGUUCUGCAAGGGUUGCAUAACACUUCCACGUCAUGGGGAGAGUGACCUGUGCUAUAGUGAAGUGCACUUAAGGUGAUGUAUCACAUUGAUUGAUUUGUGAAUAUUGAACCAGCCCUGCAGCCCAGGAAUGCAUCCCACUUGAUCAUGGCUCGGAAAUGAGCUGAAUUAAGAAGCAUAAUAAAACAUGUCAAGAUUAACAAUUUUAAUUGACACAUUUGACUCCAAACUUGAGUGAGAUUUACCGGAAUGUCUGUAUCUAGGUCUAGUGUGAAUUCCAGAGUUUUGAAUAAUUGCAGUGUGUGCAGCUGGAGGAAACAACUUAAAUAGGAAGGAAAUCUAUUACGUCACAACACUAUUAAGGAAACAAGUAUAGAAUUACUAGUGUUUAAAUCUAUUUUCAGUAGUUUAAAAUUAUAUGUUGCAUGAAAAUGCUAAACUCAAAGAAGCUUAUUGAGUCUCCAGCUUCUCUGAGCAGCUGCCAAUGGCUAAUGGUUAUAAUCAUUAUUAUUAUUGACAAUAAUAAUAAUUAAUAGUAAGAUCUACCUUAAAAUGUGAUGCUUUUAAAAAUAAUAUUGAAGAUGACAAAGGGCAUAUAAAUUUUCCCUAAUAAAGUUUAAGAUUGUAAAACUACAUCAUAAUGAUUAUUUCCUCUAAAGCACAUUACAUUUUAACUGGGAUUAUUUCCUAUAGUCAAGAUAUUUAAAGAAAACACUUAGGAAAAAUACACCAAACUCUUUAGGAAUAGAAGUGCCAUCUGAAUGGAGAAAAAGAUAUUAUUAUUCUAAUAUUUGUAGUAAUAACAAGGGAAAAAGACUCAUUUGCCCAUUAUAUUCAGUAAUAUUUGAAUGGCGAUUUAAUUGACCUUAUAAUUUUAAGAUACUCUUUUUUAAUGAUAAAUUUUGGUAUGAGAUUCUGCAAAUUUCUUAUAUACUAACAAAGAGAACAAGUUUCUUCUUAGAACUUAAGGGUGCCGUGAUAAUGGUCAACAUAACUGAUGCCACAUGCCUGGCCCCUGACAUCACGCUUAACAUGUAUGGGCUCAGUUAAUUUCCCAGCAGCCCAAGGAGGGCGGUCACUCCGUUGACUGCACAGAAGAAGGAGGCUCCGAGAUUUGCCUAUAGAGAGUCCUAUUCCAGUCUUCCUUCUUAACUCUGGUACUGUGCUCCCUCCCGGAGAGAAAGUCAGGGAACCACACUACUAACAAAUUGCUUCUUUUAAACCUAACCCUCCUCCUACUAUCAGUGGGAUAAUAGUUGGUCUGUGUACACCCGAGAAAAACAAGACAAUAUAUUGCUAAAUAAAACCAGAGUUGUUAAAAGUGAAAGGUGAAAUUUGAAAUCUCUUUUUCGAAUAAAGGACUUAUAUAAUUUUGGAUUUGGAAGGAACUUUUAAAAUUAUUUAUUAACUCUUUAAUUUUACAAAGGAAAUAAAAUGAAUCCAGAGACUUGACGUUUUUUGUGCUGGAUGUAGUGAUAGAACCUAGGUCUACUGACUCCUAGAUAAGUACUUUCUUCCAGAUAAAAAUUUUGCUUUUUUUAAUUUUUUUUUAAAAACACCAUCUUGCUAUUAGGCUUUAAUAAUUUAACAUUCUAGAUAUGACUAGCAAAACCAAAGCCUGCCAUGUUAGGUUUAAUGUUGGCAGUCUUGUUUACUUCUUACCAAAUAAUCAUGAAACUACAUUUCCUGCCUUCAACUCUUUCUUUUCUCUUACCUCUUUUUUAUUGAUUGAUUCUUAUGUAAUGUGCGUCCAGUUUCUGUAGACGAAAGGUGACCAGAAGAUGAAUCUGCUGCUUUUGACUGAUGAUAAAAAACAGUGCUCGGGGCCCCUGGGUGGCUCAGUUGGUUAAGCAUCUGACUUUGGCUCAGGUCAUGAUCUCAUGGUCUGUGACUUCGAGCCCCUGGUCGGAAAUCUCUGCUUCGGAGAUUCUCUAUCUCUAGCCCCUGCUUCAGAAUCUCUCUAUCCCUCUCUCUCUGCCCCUCCCCCACGCAUGCUUUUUCUCUCUUUCUCUCUGAAAAAUAAAAUAAAUAAACAUUAAAAAUCAUUUAAAAAUACUGAAAUAAAAAUAAAUGCUCUGUAUGUUCAUGAAAAUAUCUUCAGAAAAUGUUUCCUCUCGUGGAUAUCCCAUCGGAAGGGAGGGCAGAUCAAUUCCACAGCUUGUGGCCGCCAACCGAGCGGCAGGGGCAACGAUAUUUUGGGGGCCAGCCUACACCUCAUACCUCCGUGUCUGUCUAAUCAGUAGUGGCAUCGCUUCUCCGAGCAGUAUGGUAAGCAGGUCCUUAAACUGACCAGCGCCCUGCCUUCAGCACCUAUUGGACACUGUGAUGCGGUAUCCCAUGGUAGCUACCUUUCUCUAGUACUGAUCUAACUCACCCGUGACAGCGAUAGCCGUCUUGUGACGAAGAGGUCUGCAGUCAUGGAGGCAGUUAAUCGCAGUGCACUGUGGGAAAAUGCUCAGCUCAGACAUUGCUAAUGUGUGGACCCAUCGUUUCCAGUAGUGUUGGGAUGGUGGGGCAGCUAACAGGAACACCAGCAGCCUAGAUAGCAGAGGACCGGGCGAAGAGAUGGAAACUAUGCUUAGGAGGUGCCUCCUCAGUGCCUGGUUUGUGCUAGAGGCUACCUGCAUGACCUCGUGCAGUUAUUCAACCCAGAUGUGUAAUCUUCAUUUUCUAGAGAGGCCCGUUGCACUCCUGGGAGGUCAGGUAACUUGACCACGGUUGCCCAGCUUAUAUGGGCACGUUACAUUCCCGUGGCCAGCUGUGGGCCUGUUUACACUCGGAUCCUUACCAUUGUGCUGACCUCGCACACUGCUCCCACGUCAGGCGGCCUCCACGUUGGCCGGGCUAAAAGACGGCUCCAGGAGGAAUCUGGCAGAAAGGGAGAAGCCAGGCAUUUCUUUGGUUGCCGUGGCUCUACCCGGUCCACCGUGGGUCCGGCUUCCACCAAGUGACCCUGGGUUGUGAUGGCUCGCUUUUCCCUUUAAGUUCAGACUUGUUGCCAAUCUCCAGACCACUUCGCUCGGCUCUUCCAUGGCCUCUGUUAUACCUCUAUCCCAGGUGUAUUUCACUCUAAAGUUGACAUUAGAAAAAAAUCUGAUCGAAGUCCAAGAGCUGUCACUUUGCCUUCUUUUCUCUAAAAUUGAGUUAAAACUUUUGCCUUCUUUAUCUCCCAGGAUUGUUUGAAGCUCAGAUGAGACAGUGUAGGGGAAGGCUUUGCAGUAAAGAGAUGAAGUAUUAUAUGUUUCCGUCACUGAAACAGAUAGCCUGUACAGGCAUUGGGCCCCAGACUUUGGCAAAGCCUUUCCGUCUAGAAAAGUCUUCUAUCUGGCUGGGGUGUGGGGGUGGGCUUUAAAAUUACUGCUGCUUGGGUCCCACCCACAUGGACUCUGAUUUCAGGUGUCUUGGGAACCUAUGUUUUCAAAAAUCUCCAGCUGGUUCUAAUGUGCAGUCGGGGUGAGAAACACAGCUUUCUAUCGGUGGUUCUUGAAGGGUGGGCUUUGGACCGAAAGCAUCAGCACCAUCUGGAAACCUGUUAGAGCCGCACCUUCUUGGGACCCACCUAGACCUGCUGAGUCAGAGACUCUAGAGUGGGGCCCUCCGGCUACCUGUAAGAAGCCCCCCGGAUGAGUCUGGUGCCCACUCAGGUUUGGGUCCAGCAGCAUUGGGUGGGCGUGCCGCGCUUCAGUCAAAGAGGUUUAGCUGCCCUGCCUUUUCUCUCUUUUCACCUCUGCUCUCCUGUGGCUGGAAAGGGGGACUUCUUACCGUCCCAAAAACGAUUCCUUGUGCUUCCUGUGACCGUGUGAGUACUGCUUCUGUGGCUCUCUUGGCUGCGGCUUCAAGCCAGCCACCGUUGGACACGGAAGUGGAAUUUAUUUAUUCAAGCCCUCGUUAUUAAGCACACGCUGUGGGCCAGGAACUGUGCAAGGCCCUGAGAGUGCCACAGUCAAAGGAGGGGAUGGGCUCCAUCCUCAGAGCACCGGCCGUCUGGGGAGAGGCCGCCAAGCAGCUAGCAAUGCACAUCUGUCGGGAGAAAUGCUGCGCGACGGCCCUCGCCCUCGCAUGCAAGAAUGGCACCGUUAUUUCUCUGACGACAGUGAUCAUAAGAUUUAUUCGCAUCAGGGGUUCUUUUGCACACAAUGAAGAUAGAAUUAAUGUAGUGUCUGAUAAAGGGAGGGACCAGUUUCAUUAGCUGUGGCUCCAGGAUGUCCCGAAAGGGUGGGACCUGCGGGAGUGGCUGUCAGCCGGGCCGCCCAGGCCUUGUCUGAAAUCCCCACGGAGGAGGCGCCUAGAAGGCAGACCCUCCUGGAGCUCACCGGGCUAAGGGCACGCCCAGGUAAGUCCGCCAAGAAGGAUUCGGGAGGCAAGGCGUUUGCUUGUCCAGAGAAUGACAAGCUGGUGAUGCUUCUGCCUGGUAGAAUAAGUGUUUGCUCGAGCAAGAAUGAGGAAGGGGAACGUGUCUAAAAGUGUAUUUAGGAUUCGGGACCCUCUCUGAUUUGGCGAAUAGGUUUUCGAAGUGGAAGGGCUAGCUGUCUCCAGAAGAGGGCGCCUGUAUUCUUUGUUACCAUUUUCCAUCUGGAAGCGACCGUUUAUAUUUUCAUACUGGCACAGAAUAAACAGAAGACUGACUUAUGUUUUGCUGUUUGCAGAACUGACUUCAUGUAAUUUUGACAGUUGUACCACAUUCCAAACGGUUAUAAUUUUUUCCACUGGGACUUGGGGAUAUUAGAUUAGGACAUCAGAAAACCAUGGGAAAUGCGUCUCCUAACAGUAUUCUUGCACUACAUGAGCUCUGUGCUCUUUGGCUUAUCUGUAAAAACAUCUCCUUCAUUAGCGCCUACGAACAAGGCCUGUCAGUAACACACUAGUCUCCAGAGCAUGCUUCUGCCUAUUUGAAAGAAUAUUUACAUGACGCGGAAAACAAGUGGUUGAUCCAUUUAAAACGGUGAAACAAUUGGAUGGUACAUUUUCUUCUUAUUCAGACAGUUACAGCACUAUGGAGACGUUGCCAUUAAUAAGUUCAGACGUGAGUAACACGACACUUUGGCAGGUCGCAUGCCAGAGUCAGAAAGGGGCCGCCUUGUCAGAGGGGGCCGCGAGCGAGGAGGACACAUGUACACAAACACGCAAACUCCGCUCAGUGGCCAAAAAGGGUGAGUGGAGGAAUCUGAAAGUAAAAAUCUGUGGCUUUUGAAUUUAGUGUGAAAUUGCAAACAGACGAUGCAGUAAGCGGAUCAGAGCGCGAGGGAAUAGAAGUGAAAUUUUGGUGACACUAGAUAAAAGCAUGUGAAGGGCGGUCCCUGUGGCUCAGGGGUUCUGCUCUGCCUAGAGGGCCGAUACGUUGGCACAUGGGUGACGGUGCCGUUUUUAAAGCAGAUUUGUGCGAUUUCCUGCUUUCCUGGGAAGUAAUUCUCUCUCUCUCUCUCUCUCUCUCUCUCUCUCUCUCUCUCUCUCUUCGCUUGCCUGCCCCCACCUUUAUACUCCCAAAUUAAUAUGACAUGGGGAGAAGGGAUGUCCAGGUUGGGCUUUAUGUUCAUGCGGCUUUCUGCAAAGAUAAGAGAUGUUAAACCUUCUGGGACUGAUGACUUGCCUCACGUGGCUCUGAGAUUUGCUCUCCUCGGAAGGUGAAGAAGGGUGGGGAGAAAGGGCGAAACGGCCCUUUCUGUACUGCUUUAUUAUGUGCAGCGUUUUCUCAAAGUCUUAAGUGUGGAUGAAAGCUCUCAGCCUUUAAAUUAACGUGACCCAACGUUCACAUGGCCGAUGCUGCGGACAGGCCCGCCUGUGAGAAGAUUCGGGGUCUGGGCUUGAUUUCUGUGGAUGUAAUCAGCAGAGAGCAUGAAUGGGAGGAAUGAUUGGGAAGCUCUGAAAGUUUCUAGUGUGCUCCCUGUUUUGUCAUUAUCUCGGGGUAAUUGGAGUUGAGAGGGUAGGACCUCUAAUGAGCGGCUGCUCUCCCCUAAUGGACGGGGACUGGAAAUUAGUGCGGCUCCUGCUGUUCUACGUGAGUGAACCGUGGCGGCCAGAGCCGCCAGCGGGUCCCUCCAGGAAGUUUAGGCAACUGCCUAAUGGUGGCCUCGCUAAUGGCAACAAUUACAGAAUAGCCUUUUCAAUGAGACCCGUGUGCAUCAGUUAGAGACUAAUCUCAUUGAGCAGCAACAGGCCUGUGACAAUGUCCAUUCGGUGACUGGUACUUCAGCAUCGCUGGCUAGGAGGGGUUUUCGUGUCUCCCGAGAAAGCCGAAAUAGACACGAGGCGACACCAACCUGUGCCCCUUUGCAAGACCAAGAUUGCAGCAGCAGGCGAGAAAGCAAGCGCGCCUUCUCCCCGGGGCCGUCUCCUGCCGGGGCGGUAGCCCCCUUUUCUACCCACGGCAUCCCACUUAACAAGUACAGAGCCGGGGCCGGCACACGGGCGCCGACCCUCCGCCAGCCGCGGCCUUCAGAGUUACCUGUCACGUCUCGGAGGGAAUGGGGGGGGCACCGAAGGCAGGAGAGGGUUCCCGCGAUGAGAAUCCGUCAACACGGGUGGAUGCCUGUAGCCGGGAACGAGAGCCGGUCGGUGCCGUUUCAAAUCACCGGACUCGUUUACUGUCACAGGUUUUAACACCUCCAGUGACAGAACUGGGGCUUCCAGGCCCGGCCGUGGAAGCCACUGUAGUUUAAGGUCACGUGGCUUUACCCAACCUGUGGGAAAGACCGGCCUUGUGCCGUCACGGCAGCCCCGACUUGACCCCAGAAGGGCCUGGACUCCGAGAGUGAGUAAGGAGGCAUUGCCUUUUAGGGGCCCUCCCGGGCAGGGUCAGCUCCCCAGCACGAGGGCCUCUUAAACUGUCCAUCCCGGGCACCUCUCUGGCCUCACCCUACCCCCAUCCCGAGAAGAACCAGUCCCCUUUGAGGCAUGAGCACUCUUUCUCGGAACGAUGGGAUCCCUUCGUUUUUACGGAAUUAGCACGAUGGUAAAUUUGGCCUAAUACGCACACACACACCACAUCUCCUCUAUAGAAAGACAUAGGUGUUGAAUGAGCCGCAAACGUCUUUAAACAUAAAACCUACGUAAGGAAAAAAUUGAAGACGGCAGUAUGUUUACUGCGUGGAUUUCAAGAUAGGCUAGGUCUUUUUCGUCAGAGUAAUUUAUCCUGAGCAGAAUCGACUGACCCAGAUCUGGACGUUUUUGUUUGUGUGUGGGGGGUGGGGAAGGGGAAGCUUCAAAUUUGUCUUAGCUUUUUGGAGUCUGCUCCCAUAGUAUAGCUGCUGACUCAUCAUCACGGAAGAGUGGAGAUGAGAGAAAGUCGCAAAUACGUUUGGUGUAUGGGAGUUUUUAAAAAAUGUUCUUGCUGUCAUCUUCAGGGUUAAGUGUUGUUCCAGCCGUAGCACGCAGACACAAAAAUUGCUCGUAAAAUAUAAUUUCCCUAGAAGAUGAUCCCUUAUCCGCUCAGAAUGAGGAGACAGUGCUGAAUUCAGCUCACAAGUGGCCAAUUUAACUUAACACUAUUUGCAUGAAAAUAAUUGCAGGUGCAAGCAGGGAAGUAAGGUUUUGAGCAGUUGGCCUUAGGUGUGCCUGGUCAAGUCGGGUCCUGUAAUAUCCGUUCUCUGCUUUGGCUUGAGUCAUUUCAGGGACUUGUAGCUUUUUUUUUUUUUUUUUUUUUUUUUAAGAGGGAGCACAAGGAAAAAUUGCAGACUUCACCUAAUUUAAAAUAAGAACUUCCUAUCGACUGAUUUUACUCUUUUCACUGCAGAAUUUAGAGAAAGCAAGCAGUUCACAAGGCACCUAUUUCUGGUUUGCAAUACAGGUUGUGGUUUCCCUCUUAUUAAACAUUGGCUAUAUUUUUAAGACACUUUGCCUAAGAGUGGAUAAAGUGCUUGCAAAGUAAUGGUUGUUGAAAGCGUCCGAAAUCCCCCAGGAACUAAUUUGUUGUUGUUUUUAUUCUCUAACUAGAAUGGGAGUUUGCCUAAGAUGUUGGUGAUUUCCUGCAGUGAUUUCUGAACGAGAAGUAGAUUUAAGGUUCGAAGUCACUUUCGUGUGUGAUCUCUGGGUUAAGAAGCAAAUUCCUCAGUUUGAAGGCUCAAAUGUUUUUCUUUGGAGAAAUAGAAAAAAAAAAUCCAAGGGACUUGUUAAACAUGCUUGUGCCAUAUCGACUCCAUCAUAGACUGGAACUUGGCCCACAACAAAGCCUUACGGGUGUGAGGUGCUGGGGGGUUAGGUGUCGUCCUUGGGCCACAGAAACCUCAAGCAUGUGGGCAGAAUGGUGACCAUUGGCAGCCAUCAGGCUGUGAAAACAACGUGCUAAUUACUGGGGAAAACAAACAGCCCACAGUUUCUACAUACCCAUCAGGAGAUAUGAAUAACAGAGUACGUACAUUUUUAAAUUUAGCGCAUUUUUGCUGCUCAAUAAAUGCAUAAUAAUAAUCAUCAUCACAUUUUUAUUAGACACUGUGCAUUUAUGAGCGAGCUUGGUGGUCUCUUUGGGCCUCUGCCAAGGUCUAAUGGAGCCUUCAUAGCUGUGCAGACUCCUCUUUCAGAUUUUCCCCUCCUUUCUGCAUAAUCUAGGGGACGACAGCAAACCUACCUGGGGUAAAGGGAACGUGAAGGAGGUAGCUUUUACUUUAUCUCAGAGUCAAUCUACCCUGGCUUUUCCAAGCCAAAGACAUUCUUCUAGAAAUCACUGUGCUCCGUGACAAAAGUUGAACAGAAGAUAAUCACUCACAAAGGAAAAGAAAAAUGUUAGCAUUAGCCUUUUUUCAAAAAUUGGUUUCUGACCCAAGUGUCAACGUUCAUUGACCUAUAAUGCUAGACACCCUGCUUCCUUAUUAAUAAUGGCAAAGUUGGGGCUUGGCACAAAAACAUCACCUUGCGUUUUAGAAAGCAGAAACGAAGGCAAAGUGAAUGCCGUAACAUCCCACGUAUCGGAUCUAAUCGGCCUGGGAACAUGGAAAGAUGGGACGGGGACAUGCGUUCAGUCAGUCAACAAAUCUCUGUGGAGCACCCAAGAUGGCGCAGCCCCUCUUCCUGGGACUUGGACACAUUGGUUACCAGGACAAAGGCCCCUGACUUUGCAGGGCUCAACGACUGGGUGGUGUUGAAGAGCAUGUCCUACUGAGUAGAAAGUGGCAGUGAAAAUCCAAACAUCUCGCCUAAGUUUGGACGGUGAGGAAAAUGAAAGCGAAGUGAGGGACUCAGGGUCAUGGAGCUUGGGAAGACGCAGUUGAAACUAGACUUUCUGAUGGGAUUCGAGUAUAGGAAGAAUUGUUAUCUUGGAGGGGACGGCGGCCACCUCCUAGGAGGGUGGUACGGAAGGAGCCAUGCCAGCUGCUAGGAAAGAAAUCUAGACUCGAAGAUAUGGAAGAAUGGCAACGAGGACUGGAAUGCAAUGCCAAAGAAAGGAAAAACAAUGAGAUAAGUUACGCGUGGUCUUCCCAGAGCUGGGCAUGAACUAUCUUUCAGCUUUCUUCCACCUUUAAAAACUCGAAAUAGCUGUAAACUUAUUUAACGUCAAUAAGCAAUACAUUGUCUAAGGGAGAUAAACACAGAAUAGUGCACCGUACAUGGACCUGUACAUUUAGAGAACAAAUGUGGAUUGUGUCUAACGUGUAGGUAGAGGGUUGGGCUUACACACAGGGGACAUUUUUCCUCCAUCUGAGGCAACAUCUAUGUAGGAGGCUGGUUCACCACUUCUAGACACGUUUGUAUGUGCAUCCCACCGCACAUGAUGCCCCUGUAUGUGGCAUAGAAAUAUAUAUUUCUAUGUUGUUUGGGUGUUUUUGCUUGUUUUUGUUUUUAGGUUCCAAGAUAUAUAGUCAACAUAUCACCCAGAGGAGAACUAUUUGAUGCGUUCUUGGAGUGAUUUCAUCUGUUGAAUGUUAGGUAGUGACUGAGAGACCAGGUAGGUUUGUCUGGGGGUGGGGGGGGGGGCAUAAUUAGUAAAGCUUUAGCGCAGGUAAGAGCAGGGCCUAGUGCGGCCAUUCUACCUACUUUCCUUCUGCCUUUGCCGUUUCCUGCUACUACUAGAUUGGUACCCACCACCGCCUUGUGGUGAGACCCUUGAGGGCAGGGACCGUGUGUCGUGUGGCAUUGAAUUCCUAGCCUCCAGCACAGGGCUAUGCACUUGGUAGGGGCUCAAUGCAUAUUUAUUGGCUAGAAUUGAACUAGUAUAAACAUACAAGGAAAGCCUCAUCAGGGAGCCCGGAAUACCAAGAACUAAGUUAAAGGAAACUUGGGGCAGGUCUUCCUGCCCAACCCCAGGGCACAGCUCUCCGUGUCUCAGACACCACUCCCUGCAGUUGGGCAAGGAGGGGCGCCGACUUCAGGGUGGACUGUGUCUAGUUUAAAGGAUGCUCACUGUGCCACUGUGAGUGAAAAACUGUUGACAAGUCGCACAUCCAUCAAUAGGAGAAAAUUGGUGGAUUAUGGUAUAUCGAUGCUAUGGAAGGUGAAGCGGCCAUUGAAAAGGAACCAGGGAAGUCUGCCUGUUCUGACAGAGGAGGAUGUCAGUGGUAGAGUACUGGUGUUUUUUUUUUUAAUGUUAAUGUUAAUUUUUUUUAAUGUUUACUUAUUCUUGAGAGAGAGACAGAGACAGAGCGCAAGCGGGGACAGGGGGGCAGAGAGGGAGACACAGAAUCCAAAGCAGGCUCCAGACUCUGAGCUGUCAGCACAGAGCCCGACGCAGGGCUCAAGCUCAUGAACUGUGAGAUCAUGACCUGAGCCGAAGUUGGAUGCUCAACUGACUGACCACCCAGGGCACCCUCCACCACUCCCGCUCUGCCCCCACCCCCCAGAGUACUGGUUUUUGAAAAGCAGUAUGCAUGUCAUUAUGUGUAAUUUGUUCCCAUUUAAAGAACUACCCCUAUACAUAUGUGCAUAUGUAUGGGUACUUACAGAAAGCUCUGGAAGGAUGUACGCACAUCGAAUACUAGCGAGUGCCUAUGAAGGGAUGGGAGAGAUUUAAAAAUCCAUGUACUUCUGAACUGUCUGAAUGUUUUACAGCAAACUUGUAUUAUGUAUGCAAUAACAUAUAUAUGUUAUUUCUCUCUAUAUAUUUCUCUAUAUAUUUUUAUAGAUAUAUAUUUAUAUAUACAGAUAUUAUAGAUAUAUAUUUUCUCUCUCUCUAUAUAUAUGGAAAAGAAGAGUUUCUCUCCUUUGUGAGAAUUGGUUUGUUGUAGUAGCCUAGAAUUAAUGUAUAAAUAAGUAUAUAUUAAAUAGUUGUUAUUUAACUAAUUUACUAUUGAUUGAGUGAUUGAUUCUUGGCUAAAUAAAGUGGAACAAUUCUCGCGAAGGAAAGAGACCAUUGUUGACUCGCAAGAAGGUCUUAUUUUUCAUGACUGAAAGUCCUAUCUUUUGGUUGGGCUUGUAUUUUAGUGAUGAGUAAGGGGCAGUGUCCCUUGAGAACAUAGGUCCCCAAAUUGUAGGCAAAAAAAAAAAAAAUCAUAAUUUCAUGUCUAAUACUUUUUUUUUUUUUUUUUUGCUCUCUUGCUUUGGACAUGUCUACAUAAAGCAAGUCAAAAGUUAAAGUAAAACUCUAGAUUAGCAUUGUCGCCAGAAGGGGAGGGAAAUUAGCAGAGAGUCCAAGAUGAGUCCCAAGCGGCUAUGUUUUUAUGUUCCUCCACACAUAAUUCUGAGGCAUAGCCAGGACUGAGACCUACCCCUGGGGUUUCUUUGAUACUAACCAUACUCUACGGACUACAAGGCAAUCUCUCCAAUGUACUCUUGACAUCAGCAAAAAACAGGAGUAGUGAAACAUGAUUUGUGCCAACAUAAGUUUGCACGUUUCCCAUUUGUUUGUGGUCAGCAUCGAAUCCCAGUCCGAUAUUUAUAGGCUUAUUAUUUUAAAGUAUCCCACAUCAAGGCUCUGUCAAACACUCAAGACAAAUCUAAAUCAACGUCUUGCUUUUCUUUGUCACUAUUGGGGGGACUUGGGGAUAAUCACAAAGUUUCCUUCCAAUUAUGUGAUUCCACUGUAUGGCUCUGAUAAGUCGGUACUUGAGUAUACUAAAUAGAUUUGAAUCUUUAGGCCUGGACGAGUUAUAUCUCAAGGUACUGUAAUAAUUCAUGUAUAUAAUGGCCGAGCCUGGCCAAUGGUAUUUAUGAAACUUUUCCGUGACUCUAAACAGUCUCUACCACACUAGAAAAAUAACGGUUUUAUCUAUUACCACGGGGCUGAAUUAUUCUAUUUAACUAGAAUUCUUAUUAUUGAUGUUAAGUUGCUACUAAUUAAAAAAACUUUUUUGAGUGUAGUUGACACACAAUGUGACAUUAGUUUAAGGGGUACAACAUAGUGAUUCAACAGUUCUGUGCGGUAUACUGUGCUCACUUACGUGUAGCUGCCAUCUGUCACCACACAGCACUGUCACAAUAUCAUCGACUAUGUUCCCUAUGCUGUGCCUUUUGUUCUUGGAUCUCCCGCCAAUCUCCUUCACCCAUGUUGCCCAACCCUGUACCGCCUUCCCUCUGGCAAACAUCAGUUUACUCUCUGAUUUCUGCUUUUUGUUUAUUCAUUUGUUUUGUUUUUUAGAUUCUACACACGAGUGAAAUUAUACAGUAUUUGUCUUUCUCUGUCUGCCCUGUUUCACUUAGCAUGACACUCUCUUGGUCCAUCCGUCCAUCUGUGUUGUUGCAAAUGGCAAUAUCUCCUCUUUUUUAUGGUGGAGUAAUAUUCCAUUGUGUAUAUAUAUAUACACACCACAUCUUCUUUGUCCAUUUAUUUUUGGAAAGACACUUGGGUUGUUUCCAUAUCUUGGAUAUUAUAAGUUAUUUAUAAUUUUUCCCCCUUUUCCAGGUGUCUUUUUUUUUUCUCCUGAAUGGCCAUAGUGAUUAAUUUUAUGUGUCAAUUUAUGUCGGGUAUUUGGUGAAACAUUAUUCUAGGUGUUUCUGUGAGGGUAUUUUUGGAUGAGGUUAACAUUUAUAUCGGUAGACUGAGUUGAAGCAGACUGCCCUCCAUAAACGUGGGUGGGCCUCAGCCAAUCAGUGUAUAGCCUGCGUAGAACAAAGGCUGACCUUCUCCGAGUAAGAAAGAAUCUUUCAGCCAGACAGCCUUUGAACUAGGCACUGCCUCUUCCACUUGGCAGCUUCCAGCCGUUAGACGUGAACUACAAUGUCAGCUCUGCAGAUUUCGGACUUGACCAGCAUCUGUAAUCACAUAAGUCAGUUCCUUAUAAUAAGUCUCUUCAUGUAAUCUAUCUCUAUAUAAUAAUCUUCAUACAUAUGUAAUCUUUAUAUAUAAAGUCUAAUAAUAUUCUAUGUAGUAAAUAUCUCUCUAUGUAUAUGCAUAUGUAGAACCCUGACUAAUACAAUGGAUGAUAAAAACCACACAAUUUUCAUUGUAUUUUCGACCUUUCUUUUUUUUUUUUUUUAGUGAUAAAUAUAUUGGAUUGUUAGCAGAAAAAUAUAUGUUGUGUUACUUAUGAAUUACAUUCAUGGGGCAUGAGGGUGCUACAGUUAUAGGUUAAAAAAAUUUCCUCUUAUUUUACUUUUGAGAUGAAAUAGAUUUUGAAUAGAUUUUGAAUACAAGUUCAAUUAAACGGUAAAUGAAAAGAACGCUGGUGCAAUUUUGAUUGGGAUUGCACUGAAUGUGUAGAUUGCUUUGGGUAGUCUUGCCAUUUUAACAAUAUUUGUUCUUUCAAUCCAUGAGCAUAGAAUGUUUUUCCAUUUCUUUGUGUCUUCUUCGAUUUAUUUUAAUCGCUUCUCGGCCUUUUGGCUAAGAUCAAGUGCAGUUUCUUUCAUAAGUUUUCUAUAGUUUUCAGCAUACAGAUCUUUUACAUAUUUGAUUAGGUUUAUUCCUAAAAUUUAUAUGGAGCCACAAAAGACCCCGAAUAGCCAAAGUAAUGUUGAAAAAAAAAAACCAAAGCGGAGGCAUCAGCAUCCUGGACUUCAGCCUCUGCUACAAAGCUAUAAUCCUCAAGACAGUAUGGUACUGGCACAAGAACAGACAUAUAGACCAAUGGAAUAGAAUACAGAACCCAGAAUUGGAUGUAUGAAAUGUAUGGCCAACUAAUCUUUAACAAAGCAGCAAAGAGUAUCCAAUGGAAAAAAGACAGUCUCUUCAGCAAAUGGUGCUGGGAGGACUGAACAGCAACACGCAGAAGAAUGAAACUAGACCACUUUCUUACACCAUACACAAAAAUAAACUCAAAA